CCUACGGGCGGCUGCAGUGAGGAAUAUUGCGCAAUGGAGGCAACUCUGACGCAGCCAUGCCGCGUGCAGGAAGAAGGCGCUACGCGUUGUAAACUGCUUUUAACCGGGAAGAAACCCCUCUACGUGUGGAGGGUUGACGGUACCGGAGGAAUAAGCACCGGCUAACUUCGUGCCAGCAGCCGCGGUAAUACGAAGGGUGCAAGCGUUAUCCGGAUUCAUUGGGUUUAAAGGGUGCGUAGGCGGGGUGGUAAGUCAGUGGUGAAAUCCUGCAGCUUAACUGUAGAAUUGCCAUUGAUACUGCCAUUCUUGAGUACGCUGGAUGUGGGCGGAAUGUGCCGUGUAGCGGUGAAAUGCUUAGAUAUGGCACAGAACACCGAUAGCGAAGGCAGCUCACAACGGCGAAACUGACGCUGAGGCACGAAAGCGUGGGGAUCGAACAGGAUUAGAUACCCCAGUAGUC
rnacentral:rRNA from 1 species